rnacentral:rRNA from 1 species
UUAGAGUUUGAUCAUGGCUCAGGAUGAACGCUAGCGGCAGGCCUAACACAUGCAAGUCGAGGGAGAAGCCCUUUCGGGGGCAGAAACCGGCGCACGGGUGCGUAACGCGUAUGCAACCUACCUUUCACAGGGGGAUAGCCCGAAGAAAUUUGGAUUAAUACCCCAUAAUAUUAUUGAAUGGCAUCAUUUCAUAAUUAAAACUGAGGUGGUGAAAGAUGGGCAUGCGUCCUAUUAGCUAGUUGGAGUGGUAACGGCACCCCAAGGCUACGAUAGGUAGGGGUCCUGAGAGGGAGAUCCCCCACACUGGUACUGAGACAGGGACCAGACUCCUACGGGAGGCAGCAGUGAGGAAUAUUGGUCAAUGGUCGGAAGACUGAACCAGCCAUGCCGCGUGCAGGAAGAAUGCCUUAUGGGUUGUAAACUGCUUUUAUAUGGGAAGAAUAAGGCGUACGUGUACGUUGAUGACGGUACCAUAUGAAUAAGCAUCGGCUAACUCCGUGCCAGCAGCCGCGGUAAUACGGAGGAUGCGAGCGUUAUUCGGAAUCAUUGGGUUUAAAGGGUCUGUAGGCGGGCUAUUAAGUCAGGGGUGAAAGGUUUCAGCUUAACUGAGAAAUUGCCUUUGAUACUGGUAGUCUUGAAUAUCUGUGAAGUUCUUGGAAUGUGUAGUGUAGCGGUGAAAUGCUUAGAUAUUACACAGAACACCGAUUGCGAAGGCAGGGGACUAACAGACAAUUGACGCUGAGAGACGAAAGCGUGGGGAGCGAACAGGAUUAGAUACCCUGGUAGUCCACGCUGUAAACGAUGGAUACUAGCUGUUUGGCGCAAGCUGAGUGGCUAAGCGAAAGUGAUAAGUAUCCCACCUGGGGAGUACGCACGCAAGUGUGAAAACUCAAAGGAAUUGACGGGGGCCCGCACAAGCGGUGGAGCAUGUGGUUUAAUUCGAUGAUACGCGAGGAACCCUUACCAAGGUUUAAAAUGGAGACUGACAGGUGUAGAGAUACGCUCUUUCUUUCGGACAGUUUUCAAAGGUGCUGCAUGGUUGUUCGUCAGCUCGUGCCGUGAGGUGUCAGGUUAAAGUUCCUAUAACGAGCGGCCGAACCCCUAUUGUUAGUUACCAGCGACGUAAUGGUGGGAACUCUAGCAAGACUGCCGGUGUGAAACCGUGAGGAAAGGUGGGGAUGA